AUUGAACGCUGGCGGCAUGCCUUACACAUGCAAGUCGAACGGCAGCACGGGAGCAAUCCUGGUGGCGAGUGGCGAACGGGUGAGUAAUAUAUCGGAACGUGCCCAGUCGUGGGGAUAACGUAGCGAAAGCUACGCUAAUACCGCAUACGAUCUAUGGAUGAAAGCGGGGGAUCGCAAGACCUCGCGCGAUUGGAGCGGCCGAUAUCAGAUUAGGUAGUUGGUGAGGUAAAGGCUCACCAAGCCGACGAUCUGUAGCUGGUCUGAGAGGACGACCAGCCACACUGGGACUGAGACACGGCCCAGACUCCUACGGGAGGCAGCAGUGGGGAAUUUUGGACAAUGGGCGCAAGCCUGAUCCAGCAAUGCCGCGUGCAGGAUGAAGGCCUUCGGUUGGUUAAACGUAGUCG
rnacentral:rRNA from 1 species